GACCAAGGAGUCUAACCCGUUCGCGAGUCGCAGGGUCUUGCUCAGGCCCCGUGGCGGAGCGAAAGCGAAGCCGUGACGUCCCUCGAAAUGCAGCGAGAGGACGGCAUCGGCGGCCCGGCGGGCUGGACGGCAGGACUUUGACCGGUCCUGCCCGUCUGGCGUCGGAGUCUGAGCGCACGAGUUGGUACCCGAAAGAUGGUGAACUAUGCCUGGCCAGGGCGAAGCCGGAGGAAACUCCGGUGGAGGCCCGAAGCGGUUCUGACGUGCAAAUCGAUCGUCGGAGCUGAGUAUAGGGGCGAAAGACUAAUCGAACCAUCUAGUAGCUGGUUCCCUCCGAAGUUUCCCUCAGGAUAGCUGGCAUUCGAGGAAACUCAGUCUCUCCUCGUAAAGAGAAUGAAUAGAGGCCCUGGGGCCCUAGACGACCUCAACCUAUUAUCAAACUACUACGAGGUGCGUCUUCGGUUCCUGCCGAAUUA
rnacentral:rRNA from 1 species